AGCUUCUGGUUCCAAAGCACAGUUUGAAAGGUCCAAGAAGAGUUGACAGAGGACAAAUAGUUUCUAUUUCCUUUAUCAGCUUGAGGCAGAGAUGCACAGCCAGAUCCCAUGAAGAGCCCUGUCACUGUGUGCCUUGGCCAGAAAAUGCAUAACUGAAAUCCCCCACCACCCAAACCAAGAAAAAUAUCACUAUCACCAUGAGAGCCAGAUCUACACUUGUCCCAAGAGCAAGAACGCCACACUUGAUUUUGACAACUGCCUCAGACUAAAAAGCAGAUUAUACAUGACAGCAUGGGCUUUCACUGCAGUGAGACAUAUAGCUAUGUCAUGCCAAUAGUCCUGUGAUAUCAGAGGUGUAAGGGCAUAUCUACACUUACCUCCGGAGCAAUCAAUCCAGCAGGGGUUGAUUUAGCACAUCUAGUGAAGACGUGAUAAAUUGACCGCCGAGAGCUCUCCCGUCAAUACGGAGCGAGAAGCGCAGGUGGAGUCAAGCGGGGAGCGUCAGCAGUUGACCUACUGCAGUGAAGACACCGCGAUGCAGGGACUUGGACAUUGGUUUGCACUGCAGCCUGCAAGUGUCAGAGCCAGAGCAAGCCAGCAGGGACUGGACCAGCUAAAUAACCCUGGAAGGCCUCAAAUAUCUGCUAGCCACUGCUUAAGAGGCAACAUAAGAGAGAAGCGUCAAGAGUUUCUGAAGAUAAGAUACACGUCUGAAAGGCAAAUUAUAUUUCACUCGACAAUUUUGAGUAUUCAUGAUAUACAAAAACUAUGCUCUGUCUAUGGUUUAGUGGCACCAAGCCUCUUAUAACAGAUGGGAUCAAUUAAGUACAGUACUUGGACUGAUUGUUCGGUCAUUUUCUGUAUUAAAUGUUAUUCUCUUGCUCAAACACAGCACAUAUUUCAGGUUCCUUCACCUCAUAUUGUCACAUAAUCCAAAAAUUAUUAAUGAUUUGCAGGCAGUUACUGCCCUCCCAUUGACAAUUCCUAGGUAAUUAAUAAAGUGACAUUUGUCUAUUUUCGUGAUAGAGAAAAGGCAAUAUACACUUUUUGCUGUUCACACACUUUAUGGUUAGGGGUUUUUCUUUACCUCUUAAUAGCUACAAAAAAAUCCCAAAACAUUUUGUAAGAUCACAAGGAUACAUACUAUAGCUAGAAUUGGUCAGGAAUCAUUUUGACUACAUGUUUUUGUCAGAAAAUUCUGAUUAAUCAAACUUUU